UGAAUCCAAAAAUCUAAAAAUUCACAUGACUUACAAGGAGUAAAUAGUUUAAGAUUUGCUCAUUAAUCCAAAAGAACCAUUUGAAUCUCAAGUUCAUACUUGCAUAGAAAGUAAGCAAUGUAGGAUUUAUGAACUUUUAAAAAAAUUCACAUGACUUCAGACAAACCAUGUGUCAGUGUUUGGAUUAAGACAAUUAACAUAGACACAGUAGAG
rnacentral:lncRNA from 1 species